CAUAUGAGAUCUUAUCGCCAGAAGAUGUUGGGGUUGUAAAAUCUCAAGGUUCUAGCAUUGUUCUUGGAAAGCUUAGCGGACGUCAUGCUGUGAAAGAUCGGCUGAAAGAGUUGGGAUAUGAGCUCGAUGAUGAGAAAAUAUUGAACGAUAUCUUCUCAAUGUUCAGGGACUUAACCAAGCAGAAAAAGAGAAUCACGGAUGAUGAUCUGAAGGCGUUA